AAAAUUCAAAUAACACAAGCCACUAAAACCUUCCAACCUCUAUCAAUAUCAGCAUUCUGCAUGUAAUCAAACAGAUCUAAUAAGGAAACAUCUAAUAUCUUACCAAAAAAAUACAUCUAAUAAGGAAGCAACUGGAAAAGACAUUUGAAAUAUAUGACUAAUGUAUUGCUAGCAAUGUGAAGCAAAAGAAUAUAUAAUGAAAACAUGAUCACAAUCUUCAACACAAUGAGGGCAAAGAUCAUAAUACUGCACUUCAACAGAAAUAACACUACAACGAGCCAGAUACUAUUUAGUAGUUAAACUUUACCAUAGAAGCUGCCACCAAAAGUAAUGAAGGCGAGGUGGAAAGGACAAUUUCCAAAUGUAAUUAAAUAACUAAGAAUGAGUAUGCAAAGUAGGCAAAGUGAAAGAAGGCAUAUCCUUAAGGGACACAAAAAGAAGCUUAUUGGGGCCCC
rnacentral:lncRNA from 1 species